UACAGAGGGUGCGAGCGUUAAUCGGAAUUACUGGGCGUAAAGCGUGCGUAGACGGUUAUUUAAGUCGGGUGUGAAAGCCCUGGGCUCAACCUGGGAAUUGCAGUGGAUACUGGCAAGCUAGAGUGCGGUAGAGGAUGGUGGAAUUCCCGGUGUAGCGGUGAAAUGCGUAGAGAUCGGGAGGAACACCCGUGGCGAAGGCGGCCAUCUGGACCAGCACUGACGCUGAGGCACGAAAGCGUGGGGAGCAAACAGG
rnacentral:rRNA from 1 species